rnacentral:rRNA from 1 species
GUACCUUUUGCAUCAUGUUUUAGCCAGCACCCCCCAAGCAAAGAGCCCUUUAGUUUGACACCCCGAAACUGGACGAGCUACUCCAAGACAGCCUAUUAUAGGGCCAACCCGUCUCUGUGGCAAAAGAGUGGGAAGAGCUUUGAGUAGAAGUGACAGACCUACCGAGCCCAGUUAUAGCUGGUUGCCUGAGAAAUGAAUAGAAGUUCAGCCUCCAAGCUUCCCACACUCAAGCAACACUAAUUUACCAUGAGUAUAGGAAACCCAGAGAGUUAUUCAAAGAAGGUACAGCUCCUUUGAAAAAAGAAACAACUUUUCCAGGUGGGUAAAGAUCAUAAUUACCAAGGACGGAUGUUCCAGUGGGCCUAAAAGCAGCCACCACAACAGAAAGCGUUAAAGCUCAGACAUAGCCCUUAAAUUCAACCUUAUAUAAUGAUACAAAAUCUUAACCCCCUACCAAUACCAGGCCCAUCCAUGCAACCAUGUAUGAGAUCCUGCUAAUAUGAGUAAUAAGAAUGUCCUUAGACCUUCUCCCUGCACACGU